rnacentral:rRNA from 1 species
CAGUCAUACCAACGGGAAAUCAACCUUUUGAGCUUGGUUUCGUGGGUUUUGAAGAGUUUCAAAGCCUUCGGAUUCGCGAGAUUGGGAUCUCUCGGUGUACUUUCUCGUACGGUUAGUCAACAUCGGUUUUGAAUGUCAUAAAAUGACUGGAGGAAUGUAGCUUCGAUCUCGUAUUGAAGUGUUAUAGCCUUUGGUAGAUGUGAUGUUUGAGACCGAGGAUUGCAACGGAUACCCUUCAGGGCUAUUCGUCUGAUCUCUGAUACGUUGCCUUGAUGUUGAAAGCUUGCUUAUGAUGUUAGGGUAUUACGGUCAAAAGGUUAGAACGAAUUACA